rnacentral:rRNA from 1 species
GACGAACGCUGGCGGCGCGCCUAACACAUGCAAGUCGAACGAGCGAGAGAGAGCUUGCUUUCUCGAGCGAGUGGCGAACGGGUGAGUAACGCGUGAGGAACCUGCCUCAAAGAGGGGGACAACAGUUGGAAACGGCUGCUAAUACCGCAUAAGCCCACGACCCGGCAUCGGGUUGAGGGAAAAGGAGCAAUCCGCUUUGAGAUGGCCUCGCGUCCGAUUAGCUAGUUGGUGAGGUAAUGGCCCACCAAGGCGACGAUCGGUAGCCGGACGGAGAGGUUGAACGGCCACAGUGGGUCUGAGACACGGCCCAGACUCCUACGGGAGGCAGCAGUGGGGAAUAUUACACAAUGGGGGAAACCCUGAUGCAGCGACGCCGCGUGGAGGAAGAAGGUCUUCGGAUUGUAAACUCCUGUUGUUGAGGAAGAUAAUGACGGUACUCAACAAGGAAGUGACGGCUAACUACGUGCCAGCCGCCGCCGUAA